UAGAUGAUGAAAUGAAUCUUCACCUGAGGAAGGACAAAGAACAAACUGUAACUUAGUCACGACUCAAAAUCCCCAAUUUGGAACCAUAAAAAGGUCAAAAGUAGCAUCCAUAAUUUAUCUUUCUAAAUUCUUGCGAGUGUUUUUAAAUUGUGCUCUCAAUCAGAAAUGUAUACUACGUGGCCCAUUUACUAGCAUAUUUUGCUAUACUAGCCCCGGUAAUUGUCACUGGGCAGAUUGUAGUGUUAGAAUAAUAAUGAAUUAUGGGCUUCUCGUUUGAUUGCAAAUUUUACGGAUUAAAUAUAUGACUCAUAAUGAUAAUGUGAUUAAGCUCAAUAUGUUAAGUGAUCAUUUGGACUAUUUUACACCUUACGAAUUAUAUUUUAUAUAAUUUUGUAAUUUAAGUCUGUGGGCCAAAAAUAUAUAAACCCUAAUUGGGUUUAAGUAAUUAAUGAAACGGCUCAAUAAAUUUUUAUAUAAAAGGCCCCCCGUUCCUCUCCAUAUCGUUUUAUUGGUUUGCACCCAUUAACAAUCAAUAUUUUUGAAGAGUAAGAAGAGGAAGAUCUAACUGCUAAUAUUCAUAUCUAAGAUGUCUUUUCCGCAAGUAUGAAUCUUAAACUAUCAAUUUGGAAUUGUGAUUCUUGUUUCUUAACAUGAUUAUUGUUAAAUUCAACAACUAUAUAAGAGCUUCAUGCUAAUAUCAUAAUCCUUUAUAAAACCAGUAUUCUUUCUCAAUCUCUAACUGAAUAAUUCUAAAGUUUCUAAUUUUUACUUGUUAGAAAUUGUUUUGCAUCAUCGAAUAAUCAAACGUUGGCUGAUCAUGUUGUUCUUGUUUUUUUAGCAGUUUUUCCAUUGCCAAACCCGCUAAAUCUUAUUCUUUAUCAUCCGUCCCACGAAAAUCAAUCGCAUCAAAACCCAACUCUACAUUUUUAAUGGCGAAGCUUCCAUCAAUUUCUUGAGAACGGAAUCGCGAAAAAAGGGUCAGAAGUCAAUACUUCCAAUACACUAUCUCUCUUCUAACCCUUGGUCUUCCGAAGCCUCGCUUUGUGCAAUCAAUCAACAUUCUCAUCUCUUUUAGAUCUCAUAGUUGCCACUCAUUUUGUCGUCUUUAUUUAUGGUUUUUUUUUCCUUCAGAAAAUUUGGUCAUGGAAAAUUUCAAAUUCGAUCCAAAUUUGCCUUGUUUAGUAUAGGGUUUUCUUGUUUUCUUAAUUAAUGGCUUCUCCAGAUAUAUCUCUUGAUGAUAUGAUAAAGAGCAGGUGAAAUAGUGAUAGAGGCUCACGAAGGUCCUUUAGAGGUGGAAGGAGUACUGAAGUUCCUAGGAGAGGUCAAUGGUGAAUUUAGAUAAAGAUGGCGAUGUGGGAGUUGGUGAUUGGUGGCGCCGCCUGAGAGAAAAGUGUGAUGGCUUCAGAGAUGGGAGCCUCUAUUGCAAUUUGUCAAAUUGGAUGCCCCUAUUUGCAAUUAAGAUAUUAUGGUCAUAUUGCAAUUUUUAAAGUAGGGACCUAUCAUGCAAUUUUUCGAAAUUGAAGGACCUGUUUUUAAUUUUAAAUCAAGGGUCAAAAUACAAUUUUCGAAAAGAGGUAUUAAAUUUGAAUUUUAAAAGGGGUUUAAAAUUAUAUUUCAGAUGGAUUUGACCGACAUUUUAAUUUUGAACCAAAAAAAUUGACGACUUUAAUUUUUUGUUAAAAUGUUUAUACAUUUAAAUGUUGUUAUUAUUUAUCCAUUUAAAGUUCAC
rnacentral:lncRNA from 1 species